GACGAACGCUGGCGGCGUGCCUAACACAUGCAAGUCGACCUUAGGGGCGAACGGGUGAGUAAAACGUGGGUAAUCGGCCAAUCAGAAGGGGAUAAAACUUGGAAACAGGUGCAAAAACCGUCAACUGAUGGAUGGACCCGGUGUGGAUUAGUUAGUUGGUGAGGUAACGGCUCACCUAGGCCACGAUGCAUAGCCGGCCUGAGAGGAUGAUCGGCCACAUUGUGACUGAGACACGGCCCAAACUCCUACGGGAGGCAGCAGUAGGGAAUCUUCGGCAAUGGGCGAAAGUCUGACCGAGCAACGCCGCGUGAGUGAAGAAGGUUUUCGGAUCGUAAAACUCUUUUGUUAGAGAAGCGGUAUCUAACCAGAAAGCCACGGCUAACUACGUGCCAGCCGCCGCGGUAAUAC
rnacentral:rRNA from 1 species